rnacentral:rRNA from 1 species
CAGUCGCCGCGGGAAUACGUAGGUGGCAAGCGUUGUCCGGAAUUAUUGGGCGUAAAGGGCUCGCAGGCGGUUUCUUAAGUCUGAUGUGAAAGCCCCCGGCUCAACCGGGGAGGGUCAUUGGAAACUGGGAAACUUGAGUGCAGAUGAGGAGAGUGGAAUUCCACGUGUAGCGGUGAAAUGCGUAGAGAUGUGGAGGAACACCAGUGGCGAGGGCGACUCUCUGGUCUGUAACUGACGCUGAGGAGCGAAAGCGUGGGGAGCGAACAGGAUUAGAUACCCCUGUAGUCCCUGUCUCUUAUAU